AGCAGGCUGUUGGAGCAGAAGGGAAGCGGCUGUCAGAGCGCUCCAGGAAGGGUGUGGAAUGUGUGCGGGACCAGGUUGCAGCAGCAGCAAAAGACAAGCCAGAGAAGCGUGAGCUCAGGAGAACUUUUGAGGUGGAACCUGAAGGGAGGAGUGUCCAGAGAAUCUUUAGGAAAGUUUAUCUCUCGGGUACCAUUAGAGUGGAUGCUCCCCAGUCUGCCCAGCACAGCAGGUCGACUUCUGGACAGGUUUCCCAGGAGCAAGAGUCGUCGAGCAGGGCUCUGGAGCAGCUGCACCAGGAACUGG